rnacentral:lncRNA from 1 species
GACUCCUAACAACAAAAAGGAAACAGAAUGCCAAUACAUGGACUUACACCCGACUCCUAACAAAAAAAAGGAAACAGAAUGCCAAUACAUGGACUUAUAUCCGACUCCCAACCAACAAACAUCAAAAGCAACACAUCAAAAGUUCACAAGCAAACAAACAUCACACACUAUAUACAUACAAGAGGCUCAAACAAUGGGUGGGCUUUAGUGAAGAGGGGG